AUAACAGUUGAUGGUUGAUUGACAUCCAGUUGCUGAUACCUUGUAGACAGGAAGUGAGAGCAGAGGGAGGGAGAGAAGUAUUUGGUUUUG